rnacentral:lncRNA from 1 species
AUGCUGUGUUUUUUCAGCCUGAGUUGGUUCAGUGGUUAAUGGUUUUGCAUCUGGUUUUGUGGCUUUCAUGGGUGCAAGUCCAGUAAUUCUGGAAUCCAAUUUUCUUUUCCUUUCAUUGUAAGAGCCAGUUCUUCUUCUUAUUUCAUUAUCUUUGCUCUUGAACACCCAUCAGCCCAUUUCUUUGCUCACUGUGCUUCAUUAUCAGUUAUCAGCUUCAAUGACAUAUUAACAUUUAAACAGUGGCAUACACUUUCUAAUUGGGUGCAGGAUGAGCUUCUUAGUCAUUUAAAUUUCUAACUAACAAUUUAACAAUCUAUGUUUUCAGCAAUUGCUGCUGUUUUCCAUCUGUGCUUGGGAGCCUUCAGAUCAGUGGUAAAUCGAUGUGGCAUCGUUGUCACAAACGUAUCUGAUGAUGACUCGAACGAGGGGCUGGACAGCACCCCUGUUGAUGCAUAGACACCUCUCACAGUGGCUUCAACAAGCAUAACAGCUGAUGCAUCGAGCUCUAGCGCUCCCCCUCCAUUGAGCCAAUAACCCCAGCAAUCCUCGGUCCACCUCAUGCUAAUCCAGAAUCUUCUUUGCAGCAGCAGCAAAAGUCCUCACAGCUCCAGGGCAACCUCCAACUCAUCUGCCUGCCACAAACAAGAAGACUUCAGUUUGACGAUACAGUGGUAGAAGACCUCGCGUCAGUUACUCAAUAUUAAAUUAGAAUAUCAGUAAGUUUUGUUAUUACCUGCUUUUCACUGAGUAAGGAGACAACAUACACAGCGAUAUACAUCUUCCUAACAAUCGUUAAACAAUGCCUUGUAUCCUCUUUAAUCUUCACAAUAUUUUUUUUGUGCUUGGACCACAGAAACUAACAGUAUCUUUAUCAAUCUCUGAGUUUUUUAAAACAGUCUUACCAAAAUUGAAGGAGCCAUCUCUGCAGAACAUGUUGAAGUAGAGGGAAGCCCUCCUCUGUUAACCCAUGAUGACUUAGAAACACCACCCAAGAAAAUGUGAUCCUCAAAGGUACCUUCACUCACCAAAAUAAAAUGUUUCCCUUUCAUUGGUUUUUGACAAAUGCAAUUGUUUGCUUCAACACUAAACAUCUUUGUCAUUCCUGCCCUUUAUACCAAAAUCAAACAUUCAAUGCCUAUGUAGUUUCUUUUCGACAACUUUGUCUUUUUUUCAUCGCACUUUUCUGCAUCAACCUUUACUGCACCUUUUGAAUCAUUUAAUAACAGAAGAACAUCUACUUUACACUGUCACAAACAAUCAAAUGAAUUAAUAAUACCGUUGCAACCUAUGCAGUCACUCUCCAUGCACACUGACAUAUCAUUUUUUUGACAAUCAUUGCAACCUACGUGCUUCAUCUGAUCUUUCUUUUACACAUAUGCAGGCUUGUUCUUUUACAAUGUCCAAAAAAUCUUUUCUUUAUGUUCAAUCAUCAUCAUGCAAAGUUUUUUCACUUUCUUCGUCUGCUUCCAUUUAUGGCAACAGUUUUUGAAUGAAUCCAACAUUGUCACUUCCUUUUCCAUGCAUUUUAGUCUACUUGCUUUCACGCCCUUCUUAGUGGAUGAUAAUUGCAAACAAAACUGCGGGAAAAAUAAAAUAAAAUUAAGAACACUGUCGUAAGCCUUCCCAACUUUGUUGCCAAAAAAAUUCCAAGACAAUUUUGCAAUUUUCUAGGAUUUGGACAGUAAACCCCCCAAAACAUUCCCUCCAUUUGAGGCUUAAAAUUGCAAUGUGUUCGUUUGGGUUUUUCAAGUACAUCAUGCCUAUUGAUCAUAGGCAUACUUUUAGUAAAGUGGCACAAGGCGAAUAAAAGACAGAUACUUUUAGUUGAAGAAUAAGGGUGUGAUCCCUUCAAAACUAUGAGAUUGGGGAUGGAGAAGAAAAGUGUUACAUUCAUGCUUUGCAGCAACAAGGUGGAAAGAGAAACCCAGGUGUGGUUGUUGGUGUCAAAUCCAAUUUAGUUAAACUAGAGAGACAUGGAAAGCAGGGAAGUGAAGGAAAGGCUGCUCCAAAUCAACAAUAAUGGUUUUGUUUUGGUAGCAAUAGACUGAUAGAAACCUUCACAGAUUACUGCAGGUACAAUAAACGCAUUGAUUAAUAUGUGAAACGGUUUUGAUCACUCUUUCGCUGUCAAUGCAGAGGAUGGCCAUUUCCAGCAAUUAAUAUUUCAGUUUACGGGUUCCAAGAUUGUGCACCUGCUUCUUUGCAUCCCUUUACGUUUCAUCUGCCUUCCCUACAAUUAAUAUUGUCGUUGAAGAAAGAAUUUUUCCUAGAACUGCAAUGAUUUGUGACUGCAUGAAAUUAGCUCUGCACAUGCUGGUGUUAACUCUAUUGGAUCAUUCUUUCUAUUUCGGUUCGUUUUGCUCUCUCUUUGCAUGAUUCUGCAUCCAAUUACCACCCAUUUGUUUCUAACGACUCUAAUCUUCUUCAUUGUAUUUAACUUGAUUGCUAACAUCUCCAUUUGACUGCAACAGGACUCGCUGUGAGGAUGCUCCACCACCUUUUUGCGAGGGCUCAAGUCAGCUUAUAAUUUUUUUGACGUUGCUUCCACAUGGUAGCUGCUUAACAGCAUCAACAUUUCCAUCUCCAAUCAACAACUGAGUCUUCAGAGCACACAACUCCCUAGUUCGGCAUAUGCCUUCGUGCUUUUUGUUAGCAGAGAAAAUGCUUACUCAAACUAACACUCUUUUCAUGUAAAUUUUGGAACUGCAAUCUGUUCGUUUCCAUAAAACUAACGUUUCGCUUGCCAUUCCACCGGUUUUAUAUUUGAUCUUCGUUGCUUUGUUUUCCCUUGACAAUUCCUCUCCGAAAACAAACUCGGUUAACAAGUGAAAAGACUGCUCGCAGCAACUUGCCUAGUAGCUGUUCUAAUAAUUGUGAUCAUUAGGGUAAGCUAUAGCAAUAUUCUAGUUUGAGCUGCAAAUGAAUGA